rnacentral:rRNA from 1 species
GUUUGAUCCUGGCUCGAAUGAACGCUGGCGGCAGGCCUAACACAUGCAAGUCGAACGGAGUUAUAUUGUAGCUUGCUAUGGUAUAACUUAGUGGCAGACGGGUGAGUAAUGUAUAGGAAUCUACCUAGUAGUACGGAAUAAUUGUUGGAAACGGCAACUAAUACCGUAUACGCCCUACGGGGGAAAAAUUUAUUGCUAUUAGAUGAGCCUAUAUUAGAUUAGCUAGUUGGUGGAGUAAUAGCCUACCAAGGCAAUGAUCUAUAGCUGAUCUGAGAGGAUGAUCAGCCACACUGGAACUGAGAUACGGUCCAGACUCCUACGGGAGGCAGCAGUGGGGAAUAUUGGACAAUGGGCGAAAGCCUGAUCCAGCCAUGCCGCAUGAGUGAAGAAGGCCUUUGGGUUGUAAAGCUCUUUUAGUGAGGAAGAUAAUGACGGUACUCACAGAAGAAGUCCUGGCUAACUCCGUGCCAGCAGCCGCGGUAAUACGGAGAGGGCUAGCGUUAUUCGGAAUUAUUGGGCGUAAAGGGCGCGUAGGCGGAUUAGUAAGUUAAAAGUGAAAUCCCAAGGCUCAACCUUGGAAUUGCUUUUAAAACUGCUAAUCUAGAGAUUGAAAGAGGAUAGAGGAAUUCCUAGUGUAGAGGUGAAAUUCGUAAAUAUUAGGAGGAACACCAGUGGCGAAGGCGUCUAUCUGGUUCAAAUCUGACGCUGAGGCGCGAAGGCGUGGGGAGCAAACAGGAUUAGAUACCCUGGUAGUCCACGCUGUAAACGAUGAAUGUUAAAUAUGGGAAGUUUUACUUUCUGUAUUACAGCUAACGCGUUAAACAUUCCGCCUGGGGACUACGGUCGCAAGAUUAAAACUCAAAGGAAUUGACGGGGACCCGCACAAGCGGUGGAGCAUGUGGUUUAAUUCNNAUGCACGCGAAAAACUUUACCACUCCUUGACAUGGAAAUUAUACC